rnacentral:rRNA from 1 species
AUUGAACGCUGGCGGCAGGCCUAACACAUGCAAGUCGAGCGGAUGCAGGGAGCUUGCUCCUGGAUUCAGCGGCGGAUGGGUGAGUAAUGCCUAGGAAUCUGCCUGGUAGUGGGGGAUAACGUCCGGAAACGGGCGCUAAUACCGCAUACGUCCUGAGGGAGAAAGUGGGGGAUCUUCGGACCUCACGCUAUCAGAUGAGCCUAGGUCGGAUUAGCUAGUUGGUGGGGUAAAGGCCUACCAAGGCGACGAUCCGUAACUGGUCUGAGAGGAUGAUCAGUCACACUGGAACUGAGACACGGUCCAGACUCCUACGGGAGGCAGCAGUGGGGAAUAUUGGACAAUGGGCGAAAGCCUGAUCCAGCCAUGCCGCGUGUGUGAAGAAGGUCUUCGGAUUGUAAAGCACUUUAAGUUGGGAGAAAGGGCAGUAAGUUAAUACCUUGCUGUUUUGACGGUACCAACAGAAUAAGCACCGGCUAACUUCGUG